AUGAGUCGUCAUGAUGGCAUCACCAUCCCCGAUGGCAGGUUCUACCUAGGAGAUGCUGGCUAUGCAUGUCGGCCAGGUGUUCUUCCACCCUUCAGGAAAACUAGAUACCAUCUGAACAAGUUCUUUGGUAGGAACUAUCCUAUGACUCCACAGGAGCUGUUCAAUCUGAGACACUCCAGCCUUAGAGUAACGGUUGAUAGGGCAUUUGGAGCUCUGAAGAACAGGUUCAAGAUUCUGGAUUAG
rnacentral:rRNA from 1 species